rnacentral:rRNA from 1 species
AGGAUGAACGCUGGCGGCGUGCCUAACACAUGCAAGUCGAACGUCCUGUCUCGCAAGAGGCAGGGAGUGGCGGACGGGUGAGUACCACGUGGGUCAUCUACCGUGAGGUGAGGAAUACCGGCGAGAAAUCGCCGACAAGACCGCAUAGGCUCGAUGCAAGUCGAGCAAAGCUCUUUCGAGAGAGGGAGCGCCACACGAGGAGCCUGCGCCCGAUUAGCUAGCUGGUGGAGUAACGGUUCACCAGGGCGACGAUCGGUAGCUGGUCUGAGAGGACGAUCAGCCACACUGGGAUUGAGAACGGCCCAGACUCCUACGGGGGGCAGCAGUGAGGAAUUUUCGUCAAUGGGGGCAACCCUGAACGAGCAACGCCGCGUGCAGGAAGAAGGUUUCGGAUCGUAAACUGCUUUUCUCGGGAAGAGAACGGACGGUACCCGAGGAAUCGAGCCCCGGCUAACUACGUGCCAGCAGCCGC